AUGCUGUACACCAGGCCGGCCGCUCCUGCCGUGCAAAUGUUCCUCAGCAGCACAUAGCACCUAUCGGGUCCAGGAGCCGGCUGUGCACAUCCCAGGACAGGAGCCCCUGACGGCGUCCAUGCUGGCUGCGGCGCCCCUGCAUGAGCAAAAGCAGAUGAUUGAAGGUGUUCCACACAGGGGAGCGUCUCUACCCCCUUAUCCAUGAUGUCCACACCCAGCUGGCUGGCAAGAUCACGGGCAUGCUGCUGGAGAUUGACAACUCGGAGCUGUUGCUCAUGCUGGAGUCUCCAGAAUCCCUCCAUGCCAAGAUAGACGAGGCAGUGGCCGUGCUGCAGGCACACCAGGCUAUGGAGCAGCCGAAGGCGUACAUGCACUGAAACCAGAAAAGGAAAUCCUCGCUUCCAUGGCUGCCAAAAGGACAGUGUUUCUGGCUCUCAGCCCU
rnacentral:sRNA from 1 species